rnacentral:tRNA from 3 species
GGAGAGAUGGCUGAGAGGUUAAGGCGCAUGCUUGGAAAGCAUGUAUAUUGUAUAAUACAAGGGUUCGAAUCCCUUUCUCUCCG